rnacentral:rRNA from 1 species
UCGGGAAUAUUGCGCAAUGGAGGAAACUCUGACGCAGUGACGCCGCGUAUAGGAAGAAGGUUUUCGGAUUGUAAACUAUUGUCGUUAGGGAAGAGAAAGGACAGUACCUAAGGAGGAAGCUCCGGCUAACUACGUGCCAGCAGCCGCGGUAAUACGUAGGGAGCGAGCGUUAUCCGGAAUUAUUGGGUGUAAAGGGUGCGUAGACGGGAGAACAAGUUAGUUGUGAAAUACCUCGGCUCAACUGAGGAACUGCAACUAAAACCUGUACUUCUUGAGUGCAGGAGAGGUAAGUGGAAUUCCUAGUGUAGCGGUGAAAUGCGUAGAUAUUAGGAGGAACACCAGUGGCGAAGGCGACUUACUGGACUGUAACUGACGUUGAGGCACGAAAGUGUGGGGAGCAAACAGGAUUAGAUACC